rnacentral:rRNA from 1 species
UUAUAAGAGACAGCAGUAGCCACGGUAAUACGAAGGGUGCAAGCGUUAAUCGGAAUUACUGGGCGUAAAGCGUGCGUAGGCGGUUUGUUAAGUCUGCUGUGAAAUCCCCGGGCUCAACCUGGGAAUGGCAGUGGAUACUGGGUCACUAGAGUGUGGUAGAGGAUAGUGGAAUUUCCGGUGUAGCAGUGAAAUUCGUAGAUAUUGGGAAGAACACCGGUGGCGAAGGCGGCAACCUGGCUCAUUACUGACGCUGAGGCGCGAAAGCGUGGGGAGCAAACAGGAUUAGAGACCCCUGUAGUCCCUGUCUCUUAUAC